AUCAUCUGCCUCAGUGCUGGAGACUUUGUGGUGGCGGAGGAUGAGCCUGAGGAGGACGGUGGAGAUGAUGAGGGGGAGGCUGGUUUGGAGGAUGUCAGUGGUGCACGCUGGCGGGACCAGCUGUGCUGUGAGGUGUCUGCCCUGGAGGAGGUUCCACUGGAUCAUGACUACUGUUAACAGUCUUGGUCAUGUAGCAGCCGUCGACAGCCAGCCCUGCAAACCGAUGGACUAUGCAGUGGACAGUCAAGACGCAUCUUGAAGCUCUUUCUGCAGACCACCCAGUAGGAUGCUUCACUUGUCAACCAGAAAAGAGCAGCCACGGUCUCAGCUCCAGCACUCCAUCCAUGACAUUCAGAUCCAGCAGCCCUGUUAGGGACUUCCUGCUUCAAAGUUGUUGAAACGGUCUUGGAACAGGACACUCAGGUUAAUCCUGCACCAAAUAUGCAUUUUAUUUUUCUUUGUCAGAUAUUUCUCUUAUUUUGUAUGUUUCCCUUCAUGAUUUUGUGUAUAUAUGUUCAACCAUGUUCAAACAAAAUUGUUGUAAAUAAAAGUAUUAAGUUUGA